CGCUGGCGGCGUGCCUAAUACAUGCAAGUCGAACGAUGAAGCUUCUAGCUUGCUAGAAGUGGAUUAGUGGCGCACGGGUGAGUAAUGCAUAGGUAACAUGCCCUUUAGUCUGGGAUAGCCACUGGAAACGGUGAUUAAUACUAGAUAUUCCCUACGGGGGAAAGUUUUUCGCUAAAGGAUUGGCCUAUGUCCUAUCAGCUUGUUGGUGAGGUAAUGGCUCACCAAGGCUAUGACGGGUAUCCGGCCUGAGAGGGUGAUCGGACACACUGGAACUGAGACACGGUCCAGACUCCUACGGGAGGCAGCAGUAGGGAAUAUUGCUCAAUGGGGGAAACCCUGAAGCAGCAACGCCGCGUGGAGGAUGAAGGUUUUCGGAUUGUAAACUCCUUUUGUUAGAGAAGAUAAUGACGGUAUCUAACGAAUAAGCACCGGCUAACUCCGUGCCAGCAGCCGCGGUAAUACGGAGGGUGCAAGCGUUACUCGGAAUCACUGGGCGUAAAGAGCGCGUAGGCGGGGUAGCAAGUCAGAUGUGAAAUCCUAUGGCUUAACCAUAGAACUGCAUUUGAAACUGUUACUCUAGAGUAUGGGAGAGGUAGGUGGAAUUCUUGGUGUAGGGGUAAAAUCCGUAGAGAUCAAGAGGAAUACUCAUUGCGAAGGCGACCUGCUGGAACAUUACUGACGCUGAUGCGCGAAAGCGUGGGGAGCAAACAGGAUUAGAUACCCUGGUAGUCCACGCCCUAAACGAUGAAUGCUAGUUGUUGUGAGGCUUGUCCUUGCAGUAAUGCAGCUAACGCAUUAAGCAUUCCGCCUGGGGAGUACGGUCGCAAGAUUAAAACUCAAAGGAAUAGACGGGGACCCGCACAAGCGGUGGAGCAUGUGGUUUAAUUCGAAGAUACGCGAAGAACCUUACCUAGGCUUGACAUUGAUAGAAUCUACUAGAGAUAGUGGAGUGCCCUUUUAGGGAGCUUGAAAACAGGUGCUGCACGGCUGUCGUCAGCUCGUGUCGUGAGAUGUUGGGUUAAGUCCCGCAACGAGCGCAACCCUCGUCCUUAGUUGCUAGCAGUUCGGCUGAGCACUCUAAGGAGACUGCCUUCGUAAGGAGGAGGAAGGUGAGGACGACGUCAAGUCAUCAUGGCCCUUACGCCUAGGGCUACACACGUGCUACAAUGGGGUGCACAAAGAGAUGCAAUACUGUGAAGUGGAGCCAAUCUCAAAAACAUCUCUCAGUUCGGAUUGUAGUCUGCAACUCGACUACAUGAAGCUGGAAUCGCUAGUAAUCGUGAAUCAGCCAUGUCACGGUGAAUACGUUCCCGGGUCUUGUACUCACCGCCCGUCACACCAUGGGAGUUGUAUUCGCCUUAAGUCGGAAUACUAAACUAGUUACCGCCCACGGCGGAUGCAGC
rnacentral:rRNA from 1 species